rnacentral:lncRNA from 1 species
GAGGCCAAACGGGAUCUGCGCGACUGCUAUUCUCUUGCUGGCACACAGGGUAGACAAUAAAAUGUCUCUGUAAAACUCGAGUGCAAAUCCUACUUCGGUCCUGCAAAGGAGGCUCGUACUCGCUAGGGGGAGGGACGACUGGGCGUGAGAA